AACAUCAGGGGUUUGAACUGCCCCACCCGUCGCUCGGCAAUCCGUGAAGUAGUGCAAGCACAUAGAAUUUCAGUGCUUUGUCUCCAAGAAACAAAAGUAGAAUCAUGGUCAUCUUCGCUGGCAUGUGAGGUAGGAGGCCCAAAUCUUCAGGGCUGCAUUGUGUUGCCGGCAAUAGGUACGAGAGGUGGCGCGGCGAUCUUCUGGGACAAGCUAGUUGUCAACAUCUCUUCGCAUAGAAUAGGCAGAUACGCGAUCACGGCUACACUAGAGCUUCUCUCCAGUAGUGUAGGAUUUUGA
rnacentral:rRNA from 1 species